UUGUGAUGCCUAAAGGAUUUGAAGCCCUGAUUAUGUGUUUACAGAAAAGAAAAAGAAGAAAAGAAGAGCCAGGAGGAUAGGUUGUUCAGUUUACUACCGGAGACCUGACUGUGACAGACCACCAAGAAAACAAAAUUUAUAAAGAGAGUAAAGAAGACCUUCUGCAGCAUCUGCAAGUCUCUCCUUUUUUCUUCAGAGUUACGUAGGAUAACUUAGCCAGAACUUAUUGAUGUCUGCAUGUUCAGUGGACUCGGGAAUGACUGGGAGAUGCGGAAACAUACUCUUUGGAAGAAACAGAAGAGGAGGCAUUUCAAAGAUCCUGCAGGUGACAAAGGUCCUUGUAAAACAUACAGGUACGGCUGCUCUGCUCUGGUUUUGCUGUAGAGGAAGAACAAACCUUGGGGAAAAUGGAAAAGGAGCACUGCAUGUUUCUACUGCCUCUCCUGACUCCAGGGCCAAUGAAGGGAAGAAGGAAUCAUUCAAACAAUUAGGAACUUUUCAAUCAAGAAUGUAAAGAUAAUAGGUUAAAUAGGGAUGAUAAAUCAUGGUAAGGGAAAUCUGCUGCUUCCCAUAUCUGUGCUUGUUUUCUGGGCAAGAUUUUCAGAAAACAGGAUCUUAGCCUAAGGAUUUGUAGUCCUGCAUGAACUUCUCAGGAAAACAAUUCUGCUGCAUCAAGAACAAUCCAUUUGUUACCAGGCUGUAAAAUGAUGGGUAUUGUUUUAAA